UCAAGGAUCAGGGUUACCUUUGUAAU
rnacentral:piRNA from 1 species